UCUCCUCAAUCUAAAGAAGCCUUUCCAUCUCUAAUUUCCCCUUCCUUUGUUUGAAUAGGUUAUCUGAUAUAAUUACACAACAUUCAAGUGCAGGAGUGCAGGAAGAAGUGAUAAAAUCAAGAACAGCUUUAAUGAGGCCAGAAAAGGAAGAAAAACUGAGUCAACUCAGAGGAACUUCAAGGUCCUUUUGGUGCUAUUCAAGCAAAGAAAUGGGAAUACUGCUAAAACAGAAGAAGCUGGGCGGAGUCAGAGGGUUGAUUUGGAACUAGCAGAGCAUUCAGUGGUUUCAGCAGGGAGCCCUCAAGUUAGAUGGUGUCAGGAACACAUGGAGGAAUUUGGGAUGGAAAGUCUGGUGAAAUCAGCCUGUCAUGCCAGGCACUGAAGAAAAUACAUGUUGAAAAAAGUGCCUGUUCCCAGGCUUUCAGACUAAAUAACACCAGACCAAAGGUGAAGAGGAAGCAGAAGCCUGGACAAGGGAUUUGAUGGAUUUCCUGCAGCAAGUCCAUGCCCAGGGUGGAACUGAGUCCAAACAUCUCACACCUGGCUUGUAACAACCAGGGAGAAGCUGCUCCCCAGCCUGCCUUGCACUGAUCAGGUUAUGAUUUUCCUGCCUAUUGGUAUAACAUAAAACCAGGUUUAUAAGACAUGUGAAAAUUAUGG
rnacentral:lncRNA from 1 species